UUUAAGUCUCGUGCCGUCGCGGAUUAUGCCAAGAAACCAUUCUACUUCUUUUAAACCAGGGAACCCCCGGACCUUCGAUCCCCUUUAACCGAGAAGAAUCUCCUGAGAUCGAUCCAUGGAGGCAGAGCAAGCCAAGGUCUUCUCUCCCCUUCUUCAUCUCUCUCGAAUCAAUCGUUCUUUCUUGAACCUUGAGAUCGAUCUAUUUGUUUUCUAGAUUCUACGUAGAGAAACGAGCUACGGUUGUGCUGCUGCUAAAAUCUAGAAGAAUCGACAGAUUGAUGGGAAUCUUUAGGGCCAAACUUUUGGCUGUGGCAGAAGAACUUGGUCAUGAGAUACGCAUAUUCACAAACUCAGCAAAUUCUGCAGCAUCGAAAGAAAUAUCUGCUUCUUCAAGUGAGGAACCGGACCAUUUCUAUGAUCUUACUCCUGAAGAUUAUUAUCGAAUCAUGUCAGACAGAAUACGAGCCCAAUCCCAAAUUCUAAAGACCCGUAAAAUGCGGGAAGCAGAGGCAGCAGCCCGCAGGGCAAGGAUCACUAAGGCUGUAAUUAGGGUUCGCUUCCCUGAUAAUUACAUUCUUGAGGCAAAAUUUCAGCCAUCGGAGAAAAUUGAAAGCUUGAUGCAUCUUCUCAUGAAAGUUGUUGCUCGACCAGACCUGCCAUUCUAUUUAUAUACCACUCCUCCAAAGGAGCGAAUCAAAGACACUUCAAAGGAUUUCUAUUCAGCUAGCUUUGCUCCUGGAGCUAUAGUUUACUUU
rnacentral:lncRNA from 1 species